GACGGAGGGGGCAAGCGUUGUUCGGAAUUAUUGGGCGUAAAGGGCUCGUAGGCGGAUCUAAAAGUCUGACGUGAAAUCUCCACGCUCAACGUGGAGGGGUCAGCUGAUACUGCUGUGACUCGAGUCCGGUAGGGGAGUGUGGAAUUCCCGGUGUAGCGGUGAAAUGCGCAGAUAUCGGGAGGAACACCAGUGGCGAAGGCGACUACCUGGCCUGUUCUUGACGCUGAGGCGCGAAAGCUGGGGGAGCAAACGGG
rnacentral:rRNA from 1 species